CAAUGUCCUUUUUUUUUAAAAAAAAAAAACCUGCUUUUGGAGUAUCAAUAACAGACUGGUGCAAGAAUAAGAUAUCUCUGCUUCCAGUUGAGAACUUGGAUCCUGUGUCGAGGCUGGACCCUGACAAUAUUUGCUUCAUUUGGCCAGGUAUCUUCAUGGUUCUGCUGCAGAAACUUCAGAAGAAAUGAGUUGCCCAGUGAAAACUGUGCUGGGCAAGUGACAGGAGGCCCUUCACUCUUUUUUCUCAAUAUUGGCUACUAUUCGAUGUAGUUAAUCCUAGACUUGUCCUAAAGUCCUAAAACUUUCAUGAUUAAGGCUUGGCAGGUAUUUUUCUUCCAUUAUCACCUUACAUUGAAGGUGCCAUAGUAAUAUUUAGGAGAUACUAAGGCUUAGAAGUUGGGGAAAGUGCUUGACACUUCAAUAUUUGAACAAUCUGCGUGUAUUUCUACACAGUUAAAAUUUGAGAAAAUUAAAUACACAAUGAUAUAAAAUAUUUCAUUUUAAAGAAUAGUUGUCUUCAGAGAAUAGAGGAGGAAUAUCUCAUUAAUUGUGUAUACUAAACUACUCAUGAUACCAUUGUGUAAACAGUUCAAACCCUUCCUCAUUUGU